rnacentral:rRNA from 1 species
UACGAACUGCGCGAACGUUAUUCGGAAUCACUGGGCUUACAGGGUGCGUAGGCGGCCCACCAGGUCAGAUGUGAAAUCCCACAGCUCAACUGUGGAACUGCAUUUGAAACCGGCGGGCUUGAGUGAGCUAGAGGUAUACGGAACUUCCGGUGGAGCGGUGAUAUGUGUUGAUAUCGGAAGGAACACCAGAGGCGAAAGCGGUAUACUGGAGCUUGUCUGACGCUGAGGCACGAAAGCUAGGGUAGCGAACGGGAUUAGAUACCCCGGUAGUCCUAGCCGUAAACGAUCCGUACUAGACGGAGGGGGCUUGUCCUUCUCGGUCGCAGCGAAAGCAUUAAGUACGGCGCCUGGGGAGUAUGGUCGCAAGGCUGAA